GCCAGGCACACAUGGACGUGGCUUUGUCAGGUUCGCUUGUUCCUGUGACUUCAAUUGCCAGUGACAGCACAGCUUCAGAUUCAAGUAGUCCUUUGGCUACUGCAGAACCCGAAGAGCCCCUUCACUUGCCCACCAGUAACAGUGGCAAUCACUUCAUCACCAAAGAUGUUUCUAAUGGUAACCACUAUCUUUAA